rnacentral:rRNA from 1 species
GCUGGGUUUAGAACGUCGUGAGACAGUUCGGUCCCUAUCUGCCGUGGGCGCUGGAGAAUUGAGGGGGGCUGCUCCUAGUACGAGAGGACCGGAGUGGACGCAUCACUGGUGUUCGGGUUGUCAUGCCAAUGGCACUGCCCGGUAGCUAAAUGCGGAAGAGAUAAGUGCUGAAAGCAUCUAAGCACGAAACUUGCCCCGAGAUGAGUUCUCCCUGAGACUUUAAGUCUCCUGAAGGAACGUUAAAGACGAUGACGUUGAUAGGCCGGGUGUGUAAGCGCAGCGAUGCGUUGAGCUAACCGGUACUAAUGAACCGUGAGGCUUAACCUU